rnacentral:rRNA from 1 species
CAGCCGCCGCGGUAAUACGGAGGGUGCAAGCGUUAAUCGGAAUUACUGGGCGUAAAGCGCACGCAGGCGGUCUGUCAAGUCGGAUGUGAAAUCCCCGGGCUCAACCUGGGAACUGCAUUCGAAACUGGCAGGCUAGAGUCUUGUAGAGGGGGGUAGAAUUCCAGGUGUAGCGGUGAAAUGCGUAGAGAUCUGGAGGAAUACCGGUGGCGAAGGCGGCCCCCUGGACAAAGACUGACGCUCAGGUGCGAAAGCGUGGGGAGCAAACAGGAUUAGAUACCCGUGUAGUCCCUGUCUCUUAUAC